rnacentral:rRNA from 1 species
UACGGAGGGGGCUAGCGUUGUUCGGAAUUACUGGGCGUAAAGCGCACGUAGGCGGCUUUACAAGUCAGAGGUGAAAGCCCGGGGCUCAACUCCGGAACUGCCUCUGAGACUGUAUCGCUUGAACACGGGAGAGGUGAGUGGAAUUCCGAGUGUAGAGGUGAAAUUCGUAGAUAUUCGGAAGAACACCAGUGGCGAAGGCGGCUCACUGGACCGUUGUUGACGCUGAGGUGCGAAAGCGUGGGGAGCAAACAGG